rnacentral:lncRNA from 1 species
GCCACGGUACCCGUGAGACGAAAGAGCGUUUGUUGACUACGUCUUCAAAGUUGAAGGCUGUGCGGAUUCUGGGGGCAUCCCACAGGAACCUGCAGCACUGCUGCAAGCUGGAGAGCACCACUAUAAAGCACCUGAUCUGCGUGCUUUUACAAAGGCUUGCAGCAAGAGGGAUAUCAAGAAC